rnacentral:rRNA from 1 species
GGGAUGGAGGCCAAACAAGAGCCGGCGGGGGGCCAACCACAACUCUUUUUUUUAACCCCCCUCCGCGGUCUUUGUAGGUGACCCUCCUCGGCGCCCCCCCGGAGGUUUAGAGAUGAAUAAAAACUUUGACACGCCAGGUCCCCCGAAUACUGGCCGGCGCAAAGUGCGUUCAAAGAUUCGAUGAUUCACUGAAUUUGCAAUCACAUUUCUUAUCGCAUUUCGCUGCGUUCUUCAUCGAUUCCAGAACCAAGAGAUCCUUUGUUGAAAGUUUUGAUUCCUUUCUCCGGGGGGUCGGCGAUGGGGAUCGGCCCUGCCUCAUGGCGAUGGCCGUCUCCGAAAUACAGUGGCGGUCUCGCCGCAGCCUCUCCUGCGCAGUAGUUUGCACACUCGCAUCGGGAGCGCGGCGCGUCCACAGCCGUUAAACACCCAACUUUCUGAAAUGUUGACCUCGGAUCAGGUAGGAAUACCCGCGAACCAGU